ensembl:misc_RNA
GCCGCGUGCCUCCCAUCCUUGGUCGGUGGUAAAUGCAGGAGGUAAUUAACAGGAUCUUAACAAACUUGGAGCCAGCCCACUAAGUCGUUAAAAAAACACCCACAAAGAAAACACACGAGCCGUAACACUCCAGAGAGUUCCGAAACACGAAGUAAAUUUUGAGCUAAGGGUUACAGUCCUUGAAAUCUGGAAAUUUCAAG